rnacentral:rRNA from 1 species
AUACGAAAGGUGCAAGCGUUGUUCGGAUUUACUGGGCGUAAAGAGAGUGUAGGUGGUUUAUUAAGUCGGAUGUGAAAUCCCGGGGCUCAACCUCGGAACUGCAUUCGAUACUGAUAGGCUAGAGUUUGGGAGGGGUAAGCGGAAUUCCGUGUGUAGCAGUGAAAUGCGUAGAUAUACGGAGGAACACCUGAGGCGAAGGCGGCUUACUGGACCAAUACUGACACUGAGACUCGAAAGCGUGGGUAGCAAACAGAAUUAGAAACCCCGGUAGUCC